CAGCAGCCGCGGGAACACGUAGGUGGCAAGCGUUGUCCGGAAUUAUUGGGCGUAAAGGGCUCGCAAGCGGUUUCUUAAGUCUGAUGUGAAAGCCCCCGGCUCAACCGGGGAGGGUCAUUGGAAACUGGGAAACUUGAGUGCAGAAGAGGAGAGUGGAAUUCCACGUGUAGCGGUGAAAUGCGUAGAGAUGUGGAGGAACACCAGUGGCGAAGGCGACUCUCUGGUCUGUAACUGACGCUGAGGAGCGAAAGCGUGGGGAGCGAACAGGAUUAGAUACCCGAGUAGUCCCUGUCUCUUAUAA
rnacentral:rRNA from 1 species